rnacentral:rRNA from 1 species
AACGAACGCUGGCGGCAUGCCUAACACAUGCAAGUCGAACGAGACCUUCGGGUCUAGUGGCGCACGGGUUCGUAACGCGUGGGGACCUGCACUUAUGGUCGGAAUAACUCCCCGAAAGGGGUGCUAAUACCGGAUAAUGUCUUCUGACCAAAGAUUUAUCGCCUUUGGAUGGGCCCGCGUUGGAUUAGCUAGUUGGUAGGGUAAAAGCCUACCAAGGGGAGGAUCCCUAGCUUGUAUGAGAGGAUGAUCAGCCACACUGGGACUGAUACACGGCCCAGACUCCUACGGGAGGCAGCAGUGGGGAAUAUUGGAACAUGGGCGAAAGCAUGAUCCAGCAAUGCUGCGUGAGUGCUGAAGGCAUUAGGGAUGUAAAGCUCUUUUACCCGGGAUGAUAAUGACAGUACCGGGAGAAUAAGCCCCGGCUAACUCCGUG